UUUAGGCCCAAGGUGAGAGGGUGGCCGGCCAUACCUGGUCCAAGCCCACCAAAUUGAUUAAUUUCCAUGUGCCAAAUUAAUAUAAGGGGCCAUAUAUGCAUUAUUUAUUCAUUAGAAACUUCAAGAACCAAGAACAAAACACAAAGAAGAGCAAAAAUAAGGCCAUUUCGGGUUUGGCCAUAGGAAAAUCACCCCUCAAAAUCUUGCCUCUAAAAUUAUUUUCUUGUGGUAUUCCUACUAAUUUAAUGGUCCUUUACAACUUGGUGUAAUUGUUUUGGAAGAAGGAGCACUUAUUUCUUCAAGUUGACAACUUGUUCAAGUGAAGGAGUUUGUAGAAAAAGAUUUUGGACGAAACGGGAAGUGAACUUGGAAAGGCGUAAAGUGCGUAAAAGGUACAGACGACAGGUUUGCUGAUCCACACGUUUAGGAUCCCAUUUCUGCUAUUUUGGGGCGCUCUCUUCUACAGAGCCCAUCUUUUGGUACAGUCUGUCACUGCUAUCUGGAUAUGUACUUUGUUCAGGGUAUGACGGGGCCCUGUCCCGUCUUAUGAUUAUGAUAUGUUCUGUAGAGGUCUGUGGAUACAUCUGUGUGGGUUCUGUACAUAUGUUUAGGAUGUUUUGUUUUAUGAUAGCCUUAUCGGCUUCUGUGUGCCAAGUCUGCUCUUCGGCUAAAUUCUGUAGCAUCCACUAAUGUUAUUAUUAUAUUAUUAUUCUGAUAAUAUGCUAAUUUGGGUAUCGGGUACGUUUGGGUGUCCAGCACGGGCACUAGUCG